UGACUGUGCCAAUAAGGACCAACAUUCCAUCUUAAAGUCCAUAUUACAUCAACAGACAAUUUCCCUGUGUAAUUCCAUGAAUAUGUUGAUGCAUUGUUUGACAACAGGAGACUUUAUGGCAAAAUUUAUGCUGCAAGAAUUUGAAGUAGCUUUUGGGGACAUUUAGUCAGACUAAAUCAUAAACCAAAUAAGCCAACUUCAACUAGUAUAAGGACAGUCCAUAUUAAUUUAGGCUGUGUCUAGCCACUCUGAACCAAAACAACUGAGAUCUCUCCCAAGCACAAAAUACUGCAUCCACCUUCGAAUCAUUCUUCAAUGGGCUUCAACCUAAACUCCUAAAGUUCUAACCCGAAUCUAAUGCAAACAGGUUCUUUAGCACUCUGGAAAUCCAUGGUGACAGACAGUUUUGAUAAAAACAAGGAGAAAAAUAACUGACAAUAUAGAUGGACUUAACAAAACAAUGAAGAAAUUAAGAUGAGAACAGUGAUGUGGUAGAAAAUCAUAAAAGAAGACAAAUUUAUUCACUGAGGCAUUGCAGGAAAUUAGGAAAUAAAGCUGAAAAUUACACNU
rnacentral:lncRNA from 1 species